rnacentral:rRNA from 1 species
UAACACGUAGGUAAUCUACCUUUGGGUGGGGAAUAACAACCGGAAACGGUUGCUAAUACCGCAUAAUGCAGCGGCACCACAUGGUGACAGUUGUUAACGCGGGGGAUCGCAAGACCUCGCGCCUAAAGAGGAGCCUGCGGCGGAUUAGCUAGUUGGUAGGGUAACGGCCUACCAAGGCGACGAUCCGUAGCCGGCCUGAGAGGACGGUCGGCCACACUGACACUGAAAUACGGGUCAG